AACGCGAAGAACCUUACCUGGGUUUGACAUAUACCGGACGACUGCAGAGAUGUGGUUUCCCUUGUGGUCGGUAUACAGGUGGUGCAUGGCUGUCGUCAGCUCGUGUCGUGAGAUGUUGGGUUAAGUCCCGCAACGAGCGCAACCCUUGUCCUGUGUUGCCAGCACGUAAUGGUGGGGACUCGCAGGAGACUGCCGGGGUCAACUCGGAGGAAGGUGGGGACGACGUCAAGUCAUCAUGCCCCUUAUGUCCAGGGCUUCACACAUGCUACAAUGGUCGGUACAGAGGGCUGCGAUACCGUGAGGUGGAGCGAAUCCCUUAAAGCCGGUCUCAGUUCGGAUCGGGGUCUGCAACUCGACCCCGUGAAGUCGGAGUCGCUAGUAAUCGCAGAUCAGC
rnacentral:rRNA from 1 species